UCGAUAAAAGCUCGGCCGUCCAUCGGUAGGCUCAGAAGCCGUUUACACCCAUCGACAUGAAGUUUCUUCUGAGGACGCUGUUUGUGGUUCUGUGUAGCCUGCUCUUCACUCUUGCUGGUGCCGCUCCCGGCGUUGUCAGCGACAGCAGUGAAGAACAAAGAACCCCCUGCAACAUAGGACUUCCGUGCAGUGAUUCCAGAUAUACAACACAUGAACCAGAGAUUAUAACACUUGCCGACUGCAGAAAAGGUCCAUGCUGAAGGAGUCACAAAUGCUGCCAUGUGGGUCAUCCAAGGAGACGACUGGCCACUCCAGGCCCCUAAAUGUGAACAUAUUACUCUUACUUAAAUUUUGCGAGUCUCAUGAAAUUUUAUCCUAACAAAAACUACGAGCUAUACAAGAAACACAGUGUUAAUAAAAAUAACUACCCUGGCA